AGCCGACGCCGCGGUCUAAUUCGGGCGAGAGAUAUUUGGGCCUGUGGUGUCGUGCAGAGCUUCUCUCGAUGACCCAGAGUCCCUCACGAGGGAUAUCGGAGUUCUUCGGCGUAAGCAGAACUCGUCGAGAUCUCGGAAGCUUGUGCGAUGAAUUUCAGGGUCUCUAGAUGUCUGAAAAAGCUUCUCAACUUUUCUUAGAGAUUGCCACGACGAAUUCCGGAGAAGCUUUUAAUACCUUCUACCCGCAGUUGAAGAUGAUCCAAAAGUAAGCUGUGCAAUAAAUAAAACACCGAGACGCGUCCCAGAUUAAUGACGGAUUAUUUGAAACUGAUUCAGUGUACCGUAUUUAAGAUGCACAUCCGCAGAGGGCCGACACCUCGCCUUUCUCGUCCCUCUUUUAAUGCACAAUGACUAGACAAGAUAGUCAAAAAGGUAAAGCUUAUACUGUCCAUUAUUUUUAGAUUAUCACUAAAGAAAUAAAAGAAAAAUAAGUUUUUAUACAU